AGCCCCUUAGCCCAACGGCAGAGGCACUUGCCUUAGGAACAAGUUAGUGUCAGUUCGAAUCUGACAGGGGUUAC
rnacentral:tRNA from 1 species